AAGUCGUAACAAGGUCUCCGUUGGUGAACCAGCGGAGGGAUCAUUAUCGAGUUACUCAACUCCCAAAACCCUGUGAACUUUACCACUGUUGCUUCGGCGGAGUCGUCCCGGGUGCGCUCGAAAGGGCGUGUCCCGGAUCCAUGGCGCCCGCCGGGGGACCUAAACUCUUGUUUUUAUAAUGGUAUCUUCUGAGUGGCAUAAGCAAAAUAAAUCAAAACUUUCAGCAACGGAUCUCUUGGUUCUG
rnacentral:misc_RNA from 1 species